AAGAAGAAGAAGAAGAAGAAGAAGAAGAAGAAGAAGAAGAAAAUAAUAAUCACCUCUUUCAAUCAGGGGCAUCUUUUCAUUAAAAUGGUAAUCUAUUCAGGUGCUUGGAAGAGUCAGUACUCUCAUUUAAGGGUAGGAGAUAAAUAUUUGAAAUAACUUGUCAGAUAAUUGACUCAGAAAGGUGCCAGUUGAAAUCCAGGUAGACCACAAGCAUCUAGGCAUGUCUUGGUGGACUUAGCUGAGAGAAAACAUUCAGAUGGAUUUGGUCCUUCGAUAACUAGAGUAAGAUUCUGCUUUGGAUAGAAGAAAUAAAUCUCCUUUUAGGCCCCUAUGAGCAUCACACAAAUCUAAGGAGGUCGAGGUGGACCUGCAGAGACGAGGACUUGACCAGGAAACCAUGGAGAUAUCAGACUAGAAGCUGAUAUUUAUCCAGAAGUUGGUGCAUGAAGGGUUAUAUGAGCAAACCCAAUGCUGAAAGAAAAACCAGGCAUUGGGGGCAGAAGAGCCAGAGAAGGAUGGGGGUGAGGACCAAGCAUGCAGACCAGGACUUUGAUACAACCUGGCCUUCAAGGAUUGCCCCAUUUGAGUCAACUGACAGGGUUUGGGUGGGCCUGAACGAUGGAAAAUGGGGCUCCAUGAGACUUUCUUGAGGGACAGUUGCUUUAAAGUAAGUUGGCCAAUGGAAGGCCAAGCCCAACAAAGUCCAGGAAACCUCAAAACUUUGACCCAACCUCUUUCAACUUUCACAUCUUUUCAUGGGGGACUGCGUGACCAAAGCCCCUUACCCUUUAUUCUGAAGAUUUCAGAAUUGGUAAGAGAGGCCAGUGGGUUUUUCCAGUAUCUGGAGUCGGCUAAGGACCGUUUUUUAGCCAAAAAAAUUAAAAA